GACGAACGCUGGCGGCGUGCUUAACACAUGCAAGUCGAACGGAAAGGCCUCUUUCGGGGGGUACUCGAGUGGCGAACGGGUGAGUAACACGUGAGUAACCUGCCCUUGACUUUGGGAUAACUUAAGGAAACUGGGGCUAUUACGGGAUAGGAGCUCUUGCUGCAGGGGGGGGGUUGGAAAGUUUCGGCGGUUGGGGUUGGACUGGCGGCUUAUCAGCUUGUUGGUGGGGUAGUGGCUUACCAAGGCUUUGACGGGUAGCCGGCCUGGGAGGGUGACCGGCCACAUUGGGACUGAGAUACGGCCCAGACUCCUACGGGAGGCAGCAGUGGGGAAUAUUGCACAAUGGGUGGAGGCCUGAUGCAGCAACGCCGUGUGCGGGAUGACGGCCUUCGGGUUGUAAACCGCUUUCGCUCAUGACGAAGCUUUGUGUGACGGUAGUGGGUAAAGAAGCACCGGCUAACUACGUG
rnacentral:rRNA from 1 species